GGCAGGGUGGCCUAAUGGUAAGGCGUUGCUUUCCGGUGGCAAAGAUUGCGGGUUCGAGUCCCGUCCUUGUCG
rnacentral:tRNA from 1 species